rnacentral:misc_RNA from 1 species
AAAAAAAAAAAUCGUUUAAAUUUCACCAUAAUAAGAAUAUAUAUCAAACAUACUAACAAAAUAUAUAUAUACACAUGAACUACACGGUAUAAAAACAAAUAUAAAAGACAUGAACUACACAAUUUAUGUAAUAAUAGCAUCAUUGAAUUACUCUCUUUAUUAUUUAAUAUUAAUUUUCCAAACACACAAGACACAAUAAACAUGUUAUGUGAUAGCCAAGCAACGAAAUAUCCAUGAUUGCAUAUUUUUUUUUCCAAACACAAGAUACUGAAUAAUUUCCUCCUUUUUCUCUAUCCCGUUCAGUACCUUCAUAUCAAUGGAAAUGAAUGAUAAGGACUAACUCAGGAUAGAGUAGUUGAGGAUCUCCCCGUCGGUGAUCCGAUAGAAAUCGAGUGAAUACUGAUCCUCCAAUUUUCUGUAGCCUCUCUUCAGCACUAUUUUAUCUAUACUCACUCGUUUUAAGUCCGCAAGAAAGUCCCUGAUGUCUCCCAUGGUUACGUCUCUCGAGCUGCAUAUUACUUCAAUCCUUGCACCUGUUUCACGUCGAACCAAAGUCAAAUUUGUAGUCUCUCCCAUCUGUGAGCAAACAACAAAACUUGUAUAAUGACCUUCUUUAACUCCUCUCUUUCUUUGUAUGCAUCUCACUGCUACGAGUACUUAAUAUUUAUAAAGCCCUUCUUGGAGAAUCUGUGCUCGGGACGAUAGAUGAUAAUUAAUUUCGCCCUCGCUUGCGUAGAGAAUCCUUGGAGCUUAGCCCUUGGAUAGUUGCCUACCAUAGCAUAUA